rnacentral:sRNA from 1 species
AUGGCUGUCGUCAGCUCGUGUCGUGAGAUGUUGGGUUAAGUCCCGCAACGAGCGCAACCCUUGUCCCUAGUUGCUACGCAAGGGCACUCUAGGGAGACUGCCGGUGACAAACCGGAGGAAGGUGGGGAUGACGUCAAGUCCUCAUGGCCCUUAUGGGUAGGGCUUCACACGUCAUACAAUGGCCGGUACAGAGGGUUGCCAAAGCGCGAGCUGGAGCCAAUCCCCAUAAAAGCCGGUCGUAGUCCGGAUUGCAGUCUGCAACUCGACUGCAUGAAGUCGGAAUCGCUAGUAAUCGUGGAUCAGCAUGUCGCGGUGAAUACGUUCCCGGGUCUUGUACACACCGCCCGUCACACCAUGGGAGCGGGAUGUACCAGAAGUAGGUAGGCUAACCGCAAGGGGGCCGCUUACCACGGUGCGUUUCGUGACUGGGGUGAAGUCGUAACAAGGUAGCCGUAUCGGAAGGUGCGGCUGGAUCACCUCCUUUCUCGGAGUCAGGUAACGACCUUUUAGAUGAGCUGACAGCAAUGUUGGCCAGUCGGAACGGUUGCUUACCCAACGUCCAGAGCUUCAAGUGCUCACGCUUCUCGGUUGUUCGUCAGGUGUUGACCUGAAUCGGGCCUGUAGCUCAGUUGGUUAGAGCACCGUCUUGAUAAGGCGGGGGUCGAUGGUUCGAAUCCAUCCAGACCCACCAUUAUCGAAGGCAAGAGGGGGCUGUAGCUCAGCUGGGAGAGCACCUGCUUUGCAAGCAGGGGGUCGUCGGUUCGAUCCCGAUCAGCUCCACCAGUUAACGAGGGCAGAGGUAAGCGAAAGAGCGUUUACCUCUGAUCUUUGGAUCGGUGCCGAGAAGGUUCGGUCGUUCUUUAACAACAUGGAAGAAGUAAAGCGUCUUGCUCGAAAGGAGCGGGAUUACGCGCGAGCGUGAUUCGGCUUUGAACGGGCGAGACUGGGUUAGAUUGUAUCGAGCCUGCUCGAUCUUUAGUCGGAGCGAGCGGGAGUGCGCAAACACCUGUAAUGCGAGUGCGAAGUAGUGCGUAGCGUUAUGGGGUCAAGCGACUAAGUGCAUGUGGUGGAUGCCUUGGCGAUCACAGGCGAUGAAGGACGUGGCAACCUGCGAAAAGCUCCGGGGAGCUGGUAAACGAGCAUUGAUCCGGAGAUGUCCGAAUGGGGAAACCCGG